UACGGAGGGUGCAAACGUUAUCCGGAAUCACUGGGCGUAAAGAGCGCGUAGGUGGCUUUGUAAGUGGAUGAUUAAAUACCGAUGCCUAACAUCGGGAAUGUUGUCUAUACUGCAUGGCUUGAGGGUGGUAGGGGCAAGUGGAACUUUGGGUGUAGGGGUGAAAUCCGUAGAUAUCCAAAGGAACACCAAUGGCGAAGGCAGCUUGCUGGGCCACAUCUGACACUGAGGCGCGAAAGCGUGGGGAGCAAACGGG
rnacentral:rRNA from 1 species